CCAGACCGUCACAAGGGUGGAUGGCAACAGUCCGCAAAGCGGACCUCUGGACUCUCCUUGCCAAGAACUUUCCCGAAGGCGGCCUUCGGAACAGGAGCGGGGAGACUAAAAACACUGUACUUGGGAAACCCCAGGAAACUGGUCCAGCCUCACAGGCAUCUCGGAACUGAGAUGCCCUUUCCGGUUAGAGGUGCCUUCAGGGUUUUCCCGUUAAAGCCCCAAAGUCAAGGUUGCCAAAGCCCGGCGCUGCGGGGAGGUUGAGGAGCGCGGAGGAAGCCACCACGUCCCAGUACGCGCCCGCUGCCACGGCGCUGGGGAGCAUAGUGCGGCGCCCGCUGGGCCAGUUGCACCCGCCUCUAGCCCGCGCCCCGCGCCGGACCUGGCCACCGCUUCUCACCGCCGCCUCCCCCGGGCUGGAGUGCGCUGAGCCCAGCGUGGAGGAGAGGGCACCGAGGACGCCGCAGGCUUGGAACGAAGGACAGAAGGUGUGUCCAGCUCAUCCAUUCAUGUCACACGGCCCACAAAGUGACAGACGCGGACAACAAUAAGGGCAACCCGAGAGUCCGUGCAGUGGCAAUGGGAGGGGACUCUUGCAGGAGGAGGUGGGCGUGGAGGCGACGUGAAUCCGGGGCGCUAGCCUCCUCCCGACGACGGGCUAAAUCGUGGCCCUAUCACUGGAGCCCGGCUGGCCUGGGCGCGAGGUCCCAUGGACACCUCAUGGAACUCUGAGAGACUUGCGGGCGCUCCACCAACCACCUGAUGACCCUUGGCAUCCCUGUGUUGGUUGUCACCUCAGAUACCAAUGAGCAUCUAGAAGACAUAAACAGGAGUCGCUGAAGGGCUAUUGUCAUCAGGGAAAGUGGAACAUUGGAUUGAGACUUGUGGUUGUACCACUGAAAAUUACCUUUUAAAGAGUGCAUUGUUUGUGUGUUAUAUGAGACCCUUGUUUUGUAAGGGGAAAGGAAAUAUAACUUUUCUUGGGGGAUCUUUUGAGAAAUUCCUUAGUUUUAGUAGUUCAUUUUAAGAUUUGUUUUAAGGAUUUUGGAGAAAGCUGCCUACAAUUCCUUUGCCCUAAAAGAGAUGAUCUAAUAAAUUUUUAUCUAGAGAAGAUCAA